rnacentral:piRNA from 1 species
UGGGAAAACACGCCCCUACAGAAGUGCACU